rnacentral:sRNA from 1 species
AAAAACGUAUCAUUACUUUCACAUCACGUUCUCAAGUGUAAUUAAUAGGAUUAACACGAAUUUCUUACCCAGAACACAGAUUGUCUCCCCUUCAAUCCUUCAAACUUUGUAAAACAGCAACUGAAAACUUCAGAUUCUUCACCGUAACACAAUUUCGAUUUUCGUUUCUUCACCGUAACACAAUUUUUCGAUUUUUGUUUUUUUCCCAGAAUUCUAAUCUAAAUUAUCUAAAUAUCUUACAAUAUAAUCUCUAUUAUAAUAGGUAAUCAUGAC